GACGAACGCUGGCGGCGUGCUUAACACAUGCAAGUCGAACGGAGAGGCCCUUCGGGGUACUCGAGUGGCGAACGGGUGAGUAACACGUGGGUGAUCUGCCCUGCACUUUGGGAUAAGCCUGGGAAACUGGGUCUAAUACCGAAUAGGACCACGCGCUUCAUGGUGUGUGGUGGAAAGCUUUUGCGGUGUGGGAUGGGCCCGCGGCCUAUCAGCUUGUUGGUGGGGUAAUGGCCUACCCAGGCGACGACGGGUAGCCGGCCUGAGAGGGUGACCGGCCACACUGGGACUGAGAUACGGCCCAGACUCCUACGGGAGGCAGCAGUGGGGAAUAUUGCACAAUGGGCGCAAGCCUGAUGCAGCGACGCCGCGUGAGGGAUGACGGCCUUCGGGUUGUAAACCUCUUUCAAUAGGGACGAAGCGCAAGUGACGGUACCUAUAGAAGAAGCACCGGCCAACUACGUG
rnacentral:rRNA from 1 species